rnacentral:lncRNA from 1 species
CCUUGGCCAUCCUAUAGAACUUCUUAUCUCCGCCUUUCUCCUCUAAAGCCGCAUACAAACUCUCAAAAGUUGUUGUCUUAGCCGUCAUAACCACUAACUUAGCCUCUCUUCUAGCAACCUUAUACUCAUCCUUAUUCUUCUGUCUUUCCUCAUCAUCCUUGCUCCCAACCAACUUAGCAUAAGCCACCUUCUUAGACUCCACCUUUCUCUUGACCUCUUCGUUCCACCACCAGUCUCCUCGAUGUUUGCCAGAUCGACAUCUCGAGACACCCAACACCUCUCUAGCGGUCUCCCUAAUGCAACUGGAAGUCGUCUCCCACAUAUUAUCC